rnacentral:sRNA from 1 species
UUUUAGCCCUGAUGCUAGAGGAAAUCCUUUUUUGUUUUUCUUUAAAACAAAAAAGAUUGGAACGGACAGCAGGAUUAGCU